rnacentral:rRNA from 1 species
AGGGUUUGAUCCUGGCUCAGGAUGAACGCUGGCGGCGUGCUUAACACAUGCAAGUCGAACGAACCUUCGGGUUAGUGGCGGACGGGUGAGUAACGCGUGAGAAUCUGCCCUCAGGAGGGGGAUAACGGUUGGAAACGACCGCUAAUACCCCAUAUGCCUACUGGUGAAAUGAAUUUCGCCUGAGGAUGAGCUCGCGUCUGAUUAGCUAGUUGGUGAGGUAAUGGCUCACCAAGGCUUCGAUCAGUAGCUGGUCUGAGAGGAUGAUCAGCCACACUGGGACUGAGACACGGCCCAGACUCCUACGGGAGGCAGCAGUGGGGAAUUUUCCGCAAUGGGCGAAAGCCUGACGGAGCAACGCCGCGUGAGGGACGAAGGCCUCUGGGCUGUAAACCUCUUUUCUCAAGGAAGAAGAUAUGACGGUACUUGAGGAAUAAGCCACGGCUAAUUCCGUGCCAGCAGCCGCGGUAAUACGGGAGUGGCAAGCGUUAUCCGGAAUUAUUGGGCGUAAAGCGUCCGCAGGCGGCUUUUCAAGUCUGCUGUUAAAGCGUGGAGCUUAACUCCAUCAUGGCAGUGGAAACUGAAAGGCUUGAGUAUGGUAGGGGCAGAGGGAAUUCCCGGUGUAGCGGUGAAAUGCGUAGAUAUCGGGAAGAACACCAGUGGCGAAGGCGCUCUGCUGGGCCAUUACUGACGCUCAUGGACGAAAGCCAGGGGAGCGAAAGGGAUUAGAUACCCCUGUAGUCCUGGCCGUAAACGAUGAACACUAGGUGUCGGGGGAAUCGACCCCUUCGGUGUCGUAGCUAACGCGUUAAGUGUUCCGCCUGGGGAGUACGCACGCAAGUGUGAAACUCAAAGGAAUUGACGGGGGCCCGCACAAGCGGUGGAGUAUGUGGUUUAAUUCGAUGCAACGCGAAGAACCUUACCAGGGUUUGACAUCCUGCGAACCUCUUAGAAAUUUGAGGGUGCCUUCGGGAAUGCAGUGACAGGUGGUG